rnacentral:lncRNA from 1 species
AAGGAAGGUCAUUGCCUGGGGAGGUGGGAGGAGGUGGUUGUACAGGGAGGUGAGUACAGUGUGUAUGCCUAUAAACAGGUCAGUUGUGGGAUGGGAACAGGCAACUUUGAAACUCUGGUGCUUGGAAAGAGCCUCUGCUCUUCGCCUAGGGAGUUGAACCAGGGGCUGCAGCAGUUUUCAAACCAUGUUCCAUGGAGACGUUUCAGGGGCUCCCUUGGGAAAGGGUGAAGAGCUAGAAGAUCACCUGGACAUAAUGCAAAAGAAAAGAAUUGCUGUGCAUGGGAAUUGCUGUGGUUUAAGUAGCAGGUAUUGGCAUUUCUCAGGUCACAAAUAUACUAGUGCAAAUAUCUUCUGCAUGACCAGCCUGAUUGUAUACCAUCUUCCAAGGCCACUUCUUGACCCAGAACCAAACACCUACCUCCUGACAUUUGGUGGGGAAAGGAGUUAGGUAUUGUCUCUUUUCUUCUUCCUUAUUUUAUUUCUUGUAUUCUUUUUUUAGCAAUGCUUUAACAAUGAUUUUUUCUCAGGCAUGAUGCCACUUUGUACUUUAACUAUUAACCCUUGCUUUAAGAAAUGUCCCUAGAUGUCUGACAGAUUGAGGUGCAGGCCCAGACAGCAGUCACAUUAUAAAAGUAACCAGGGAACGUUUAAAAAAAGAAAUUAUCCUAGGGGCGCCUGGGUGGCUCAGUCACAUCCUACUCUUGAUUUCGGCUUGGGUCAUUAUCUCACAGUUUGUG